CCAUCGGUCUGAAGUAUCAUCCGUUCGUAGGGAGUAAUAUGGACUCCUACAAGUCACGAUGUUGAUACAUCAGAAUUGGUUGUGCCCAAGUCUGUUAGGUAUGAUUUUUCACAUAAAAAGGAUAAAAUUAAGCCUGAUACCUGGACUACGUGGGUACAUUAUGUCAACAACGUCGGCUACGGGUAUAAUCCGUUCGUUAGAGUCGUCAACACUUGUCCCCUCUCUCGGGCCUGCAACACAUUCAGUUUCCUGGGAUGGUGUUUGACUUGGUGAACAUAUACCUGGAGGUAUCGGCGAUGAUGUCGUCUGUUCCGUUGGCUUGCUGUGUGGAGUCCCCAUAGGUAACUACUAAAAAAAGACAUGUCCAACAGACUCAGGCAUCCCGCAAAAACUUGUAAACUGACUCUGCAAGCAGAUAACGUGAAAUACCAACAGUACUAAACGCCCGUUCCCAUGCUACAGGAACUCAGUCCAUAAGGGUAGCUUUGCUAUACAACUGAAAAUAGAAAGACAUGUCCAACAGACUUUGCUCAGAAAUAUUUAUUUGAAAACUGAAUUUGCUGGUUAUAAACAUGAUCGGGGUUGCUUGGUCUGAGUAUUGGAGCCUGUUAACAGGAAAAAUGACUACCACGACUGCACAUGCCAGCUCUGACCUCCCGUAUUAUGUUAAUCAUUUACGUUGUAUUUUUGUUAUCAAGCACAUAACUGUAUUACACAAGAUCUAUUUUUAUUUGCACUACAUUUGAGUUGAGAAUCAGUUUCUGUUGUAACAAAAUAGCAAUAGAUAUGUCGGUUAAUUUCAUGUGUACCAUAGGUGCAAAAUGAAUUAUGGCAUGGCUUGAUUUAGUUUUUGUUUGCUUUCAUCCUUUUAUUCGUUUGGUUUAUUCCAGGUCCAUAUAAUUAUGAUGUCUUGGAGGGUAUGACGUUCGGCAAUAUUUCUGAAUCCUUCAAUGCUGACUUUGAGGAUGGUACAAUCGGGGAGGUAAUUAUUUUUCCUUUUGUCAUGUGAAGCCCAACACUAUGCUAUUAACCAGGUAUGGAUCUUUGAGAGUAUCCUUCUGGGUGAAUAUGGAGAAGUAAUGAAUAUCCAAGUACUUGCUGUGGCUGAAAGGGUAGACCUGCUCUAACCAAAGGACCUUUAGAUGCUUGGCCCAGUUCGCCCAUUGUUUUUGACUACAACCAUUGCACUUACUGUUGUGGACCGGUUCGGUAAUUAACCAAAGGAUGAUUGUAAUAGUUGGCUCUGCCUGUCAUGUAUAGAGUAACCGAAAGUUGUAUAUGUUCCUCCCAAGUUAUCAUGUAUUACAUUUGUGGACAGUUGUAUAUGUUCUGAUCUGUACACGUAUGCAUAACAAACAAAGCCUGGGUGUUCAUACCUGGGGUUGAAUCCGUACAGAGUCGCCCACGGGAACUCCUAUGUCGCUGUCGUGGUUCCGCGGCGGCGGCGUUGUCCAGUGGUUCCGUGGCGGCGGUGCUGUCGAGUGGUUCCGCGACGGCGGCGCUGUGGACUAUGCAGAUCCAGAUGGAGUCGGGCGGCGAGAUGCGAGAUCCAGAUGGACUCAGGCGGAGAUCCAAAUGGACUCAGGCGGCGAGAUCUGGUGCGGGGUAUGAGGUUCUACGGCAGGCCGAUCCUGCGUGGGCGGGGUUCUCGGUGGGUUGGUGUGGGGGUGAUGGGACGGAAAAAACCGGUUGAAAAAAAACCAGACGAAAGUGGG
rnacentral:lncRNA from 1 species